rnacentral:lncRNA from 1 species
UCGUAAAUCCGUUUCCAGCCCUAAGCUCUUGCUCAAAGCGUACUUCCACAUUUUCAGUUUCUUGCUGCGUCUCUCCAAUUUACUAUGUUAAAGGACUCAUUUCCUGUUUUCUUGGGUUUCCCAUCUAAAGCUGAGGCUAAGUGUAAAUAUCACCAUUUCUAAAUGUCCUCUCUAUUCUAGUCCUCACUGAUCUGGUCUUCCCAAAUCCUUUAGAAUUUAUUUAUCACUUUUAGGUGUUAUUACGGCUUGUAUUUUUUGUUAGUUUUAAUUGUAUACUUUGCCUCCCAAAUUAGAUUUUAAACUUCAUGAGGCCAAAAAUUUGUAUAUAAAUGUAUCAGGUUUUUGCAGCAUUCCCUCCCUCCUUUCUGAAAUCUUUCUCUCCUCUGUUAGUCGAGAAAAAAAAAUAGUUACCACCAGAGGGCAGUGGAGAGGUCAGAGAUAAUAACGGAAAAAAGGCCAUAGGUUUAGCAAAGUUGAUAUAAUACAAUUUACUAAGAUUUCUCUACUCUCUUUAGCAUCAUAGAAAUGGAUGUGAUUUAUUUAAUUCUGGGUGCCAAAUUUUAACAGAGAAAACUAUAAACGGUGUAUCAGAAUGCCGUGACCAGUUGGAGUAUGAGGAGAGGUUGGAGCAUCUGGGAAUGUAAGCCUAGAAAAGAAAAGUCAAGGCAGCUCAUGCCAGCUGUUUUUGACUUUUUAGAAGAAUGGCCUGUGAAAGGGUCAUUAAACUUACUCGGUUCAGCUUUCAUUGAGGACUAACCACUGAGAGAUGUGUGGAGCCGCGUGGAGCCGCAUUUGCCUCAGCCACACCAGAGCUUGACCUGAUGUUUCAAAAACAAAAGACAAAACAAACCAUAACAACAACAACACCUCUUACAUCAGGGCAUUGUAGUGGCAUUUGAGUUUUACCCUUGAAACUACACAAACACUUAAUGAAAGUCAUAGGUUAAUUUUUGCUGUUAAUUCUUUGGGUUCAUCUAAAGAAAGAACACUUUUGUGCUAUUAGUCAAUCUGUCUUUAAGCGUUUUUUCUUAGUGGACUUUUUACAUUUAACCAACAAGAUCAUUAUUUUGAUUUAUGUAUCUGGAUAUCCCCAGAUUAGGCAUUUUUACUGAUGCCAAAGCAAAACUUAAAGGAGGUUCAAGAAGGAGACCACAUUUCAGACACGCCCCUGUGGGGUCAAUUACCACCUGUAAAUAGCUAUAUAAUCUGUCACUUAAUGACAAAUCAAUCUUUCUAAAACAUUUUUGUCAGUUGAUUGUUCGAUAACCUCUCCACAGAUAUUAAUAAAACCCAACUCAUCAACUCUGUAUUUUA